UUUGUUUUUCGGUUGUAGAGAGA
rnacentral:snRNA from 1 species